rnacentral:lncRNA from 1 species
AGGCACAUGGAAGUCACAUGUGGGCUGUGUAGCCUAUGUAGCUUGAGGGUAGGGCCCCCUUACCCUGGUCUUAUAGAAUUUCUGACCCUGGUAUGUAUUUGAUACAUACUAUUUAAUUACGAUUUUAUUUAUGUCCAUCUUUUUGUUUUGUCUUCUGUGCAUGCUAAGGAGUGACACAUCAGAGAGAUGAACUCAAAUGACACCUCUAGUCAUUCCUUCUCAUUUCUACAUAUGAAGAUUGGUGUGUGCAUCUCACUGGAUCUAUGCACAAAUACUGGGGGGUCUGCUAUACUCGGUUGUAUUGAAUUAUUAGCCUGCUGAGUCUGGCCACAUUUAGAUUCAAGCCUUCUAUUUAAUGAAUGAUGGGGAAUGAAUUAAACAAGGUGCCCCUUAGAGUAUAUACAUAUAUAUUACUUUUAGAUUAUUCCGUACCAUAACUAGACGAUAAAAUUGUCUCAAAAGACUAUCUUAAAAGACUCAAAAGAAACAUGCUAAACCAGAGCUUAAGUUACCAAGAAAGGACUUGUUCAAAGACAAUAAUUUGCUGUAUUUAAUAUGUACAGCAAUUUACUUAGCCUAAUUUUGUCAGCACCUCUCUGAACAAACCUUCUCUUUACAUCUUUUUUGUUUGUUUGUUUCAGGUCAACAUCUUGUGUAUUCUAGCUAAUACCUCAUCAUUAUGCUAACUGUACUUUCAUUGUCAAAAGUCUAUGCUAAAGCCUUUGACUGUGUGUAGCAGGAUAUGACUUGACCUUGCAGAAUUUUCAGCCAUUACCAGCGGUGUCAGAUUGAAUGGGGUAUCACUAUCAACCCUGGAGAACCAGAGGUCAGCUAGCAAGUGCCAGAGACCCCAUCAAAGGUGCUCCUCGAAGUCUCUUCUACUUUUACUUACUUUUUUUCUUUCUACUUUUACUUUUUCACUUUUGUUUUUUGAUGGGGGAAAGGAGGCUGUGGAAUGCCAAGCCCAGGGGCAGGAGUGGGGAGAGCACAUAUGUAUCAGGU